GUACCCUUAGCUCAGUUGGUUAGAGCAGUCGGUCCAUAACCGUCCGGUCGUAGGUUCGAGUCCUACAGGGUACA
rnacentral:tRNA from 1 species